CACCUAGUAGCUCAAAGGACAGAGCACCCGUUUGACUAACGGGUAGAUGCGGGUUCGAGUCCCGCCUGGGUCU
rnacentral:tRNA from 1 species